GGUUUUUAUUUACUGUUAUUUCACUUUUCAAUAAUAUAGAUGGCUCCAGUGCGUUCUCUAUUUCGUUCAUGUCCACUUUGCUUUAAGGUUGUGGUUGGCUUCAGUCAGCACCUUAGGCAAGUACACAACGUUCGGAACACUGAGGAGAGGAUUCUCCUUUGUAAUUGGCAGUGGGGCCGUGUCAAUAUCAGGCAAGAGCGGUGUCCAGUGACAGGAUGCUCCACCCAUGUCAGCAGGCUGGACCGGCAUAUGGACUCCCAUACAGAGCUCAACAGAGCACAGAGGAGACAGGCUUUAGAGGAGGUGAAGAGACGUCUGACAAUGGAGAGGCUGGCGGCAUUGAGGGCGUCGAUCCCUGCCAUCCCAGUGGCCACAGAUUUUGAUAUUGUGGAGACUGCGAGGCAAGAAGAAGAGGAGGAUAACUUUUUAGAUACUUUUGCAGAGGAAGAGGAGGAAGAGGGCUGCACUAAUGAUUACUGCCACUGCCAAGCACCACUUUUGAGGCUGCAGAAAGCUGUGAAAGAGAGGGAUGAGGCCCUGACCAAGAAAAGUGAGACCAUCCAAUCCAUUAGAGAGGACAACCUGAAGCUGAUCUCUGAGCUGCAUAGAGUGAGGAAGAGGUACCAGCUACUGAAAAGGCAGAUGGGGAUUCUCAGGGUGAGUCCGGCAAAGGAGAGGUCGGCAAAGAGGUCCCUCAGCUUUUAGGCCGAGGCAGACACAGCCCAAGAGGAGCUGCAGCUGGACCAAGUGACAGGUUCAGGGGACCAGACAGAGGAGGCUACAGCGUCCGGAUCUGGCAGCAAACUUAUCUUCCCGGGCUCUGCCAUUAGUGUGUUUCUUGAGGGAUUCAGGAAGACCUGUGAGGGCCCCAAUCCAAAUUAUAAGCUAAGGGAAAAUUGUGCCGGAAAGAUCAAAAGGGUGACGCAAUUGUUGAACUACAUGGCGAAGGAUGAGACCUACCAAUCCAAUCUCAUUUUCCUGACUAACCAUGACAAAAUAAGGGGGUGAAAGACAGCAAGGAAGCCAAGGUGGUUUCCAGAAAGACCCUGCUGGAGUGCCAGUCUCUUGCCAAGGCCAAGAUCCCAGAAGUGCUG